GAUGAACGCUAGCGACAGGCCUAACACAUGCAAGUCGAGGGGCAGCACGAAGCAAGCUUGCUUGUUUUGGUGGCGACCGGCGCACGGGUGCGUAACAGGUGUGCAAUCUGUCCAUAAUCGGGGAAUAGCCCAGCGAAAGUUGGAUUAAUGCUCCAUGUGAGUUUUAGAGGCAUCUCUUUAAUUUGAAACGUAAGGAUUAUGGGUGAGCACGCUUCUGAUUAGGUAGUUGGUGAGGUAACGGCUCACCAAGCCGACGAUCAGUAGGGGUUCUGAGAGGAAGGUCCCCCCACAUUGGAACUGAGACACGGUCCAAAACUCCUACGGGAGGCAGCAGUGAGGAAUAUUGGUCAAUGGGACGGAAGUCUGAACCAGCCAAGUCGCGUGAAGGAUGAAGGUUCUAUGGAUUGUAAACUUCUUUUGUCUGAGGGUAAAAAAGCGGACGUGUCCGUUCUUGCAAGUAUCAGACGAAUAAGCAUCGGCUAACUCCGUGCCAGCAG
rnacentral:rRNA from 1 species